UGGGGAAUAUUGGACAAUGGGCGAAAGCCUGAUCCAGCCAUGCCGCGUGAGUGAUGAAGGCCCUAGGGUUGUAAAGCUCUUUCACCGGGGAAGAUAAUGACGGUACCCGGAGAAGAAGCCCCGGCUAACUUCGUGCCAGCAGCCGCGGUAAUACGAAGGGGGCUAGCGUUGUUCGGAAUUACUGGGCGUAAAGCGCACGUAGGCGGAUAUUUAAGUUAGGGGUGAAAUCCCAGGGCUCAACCCUGGAACUGCCUCUAAUACUGGGUAUCUAGAGUCCGAGAGAGGUGAGUGGAAUUCCGAGUGUAGAGGUGAAAUUCGUAGAUAUUCGGAGGAACACCAGUGGCGAAGGCGGCUCACUGGCUCGGUACUGACGCUGAGGUGCGAAAGCGUGGGGAGCAAACAGG
rnacentral:rRNA from 1 species